rnacentral:rRNA from 1 species
GGUCAUUUAGAGGAAGUAAAAGUCGUAACAAGGUUUCCGUAGGUGAACCUGCGGAAGGAUCAUUAUCGAAAUCGAAAGCCUAGGAGAAAGGGGGGGGGAUGCGGGGCUGUCGCUGGCCUCUUUGGCAUGUGCACGCGUUGGUCCCUCUCCCGCCUUCGAAGCUUUCAACUUCUCAACACCUGUGUGCACCCGCUGUAGGUCCUUCGGGACCUAUGUCUUCUCUUCCGAACUCGCAUGUCUACAGAAUGUGUAUGCGUCGCGUUGGCGACUGCGAAACCUUUGUACAACUUUCAGCAAUGGAUCUCUUGGCUCUCGCAUCGAUGAAGAACGCAGCGAAUCGCGAUAAGUAAUGUGAAUUGCAGAUUUUCCGUGAAUCAUCGAAUCUUUGAACGCACCUUGCGCUCCUUGGUAUUCCGAGGAGCAUGCCUGUUUGAGUGUCAUCGAAAUAUCGGACCGAAUGACUUCGAUGCUGUCGGAGCUCGGUUUCGGAUGUUGGGAGUGGUGCGGGCGGCAACGUCGGCUCUCCUCAAAAGCAUUAGCUGUGGGCGCGAGCCUCGCAUGGCACGGCCGCUUUGACGUCGUAAUGAUCGUCGUGGGCUUGGAAGUGCGUGGGUUGACGUGUCUCCACGCUUCGAAACCUUCUGCGAGUCCGUCCGUCGUCCGGACGGUCGCACGUAUCGAUGCUUGACCUCAAAUCAGGUAGGACUACCCGCUGAACUUAAGCAUAUCAAUAAGCGGAGGAA